GAUAACCAGUCGAAAGAUUGGCUAAUACCGGAUAAGCCCACGGUCUCUUCGGAGACUGAGGGAAAAGGUGGCCUCUGUAUACAAGCUAUCACAACCAGAUGAGUCCGCGGCCCAUCAGCUAGUUGGCGGGGUAAUGGCCCACCAAGGCAACGACGGGUAGCUGGUCUGAGAGGACGAUCAGCCACACUGGAACUGAGACACGGUCCAGACUCCUACGGGAGGCAGCAGUGGGGAAUUUUGCGCAAUGGGCGAAAGCCUGACGCAGCAACGCCGCGUGUGUGAUGAAGGUCUUUGGAUUGUAAAGCACUUUCGACCGGGACGAAACCGUAAAGCCUAAUACGCUUUGCCUUGACGGUACCGGGAGAAGAAGCACCGGCUAACUCUGUGCCAGCAGCCGCGGUAAUACAGAGGGUGCAAGCGUUGUUCGGAAUUAUUGGGCGUAAAGCGCGUGUAGGCGGCUUUGCAAGUCGGGUGUGAAAGCCCUCAGCUCAACUGAGGAAGUGCGCCCGAAACUGCAGAGCUUGAGUGCCGGAGAGGGUGGCGGAAUUCCCCAAGUAGAGGUGAAAUUCGUAGAUAUGGGGAGGAACACCGGUGGCGAAGGCGGCCACCUGGACGGUAACUGACGCUGAGACCCGAAAGCGUGGGUAGCAAACAGGAUUAGAUACCCUGGUAGUCCACGCCGUAAACGAUGAGAACUAGGUGUCCGGGGAGUUGACCCCCG
rnacentral:rRNA from 1 species